rnacentral:rRNA from 1 species
GUUUGAACCUGGCUCAGAACGAACGCUGGCGGCAGGCUUAACACAUGCAAGUCGAGCGCCCCGCAAGGGGAGCGGCAGACGGGUGAGUAACGCGUGGGAAUCUACCCUUGACUACGGAAUAACGCAGGGAAACUUGUGCUAAUACCGUAUGUGUCCUUCGGGAGAAAGAUUUAUCGGUCAAGGAUGAGCCCGCGUUGGAUUAGCUAGUUGGUGGGGUAAAGGCCUACCAAGGCGACGAUCCAUAGCUGGUCUGAGAGGAUGAUCAGCCACAUUGGGACUGAGACACGGCCCAAACUCCUACGGGAGGCAGCAGUGGGGAAUAUUGGACAAUGGGCGCAAGCCUGAUCCAGCCAUGCCGCGUGAGUGAUGAAGGCCCUAGGGUUGUAAAGCUCUUUCACCGGAGAAGAUAAU